rnacentral:rRNA from 1 species
AUGAGCUUCUACAGCCUUCCGGAGACUCUUCAUCACGAGAUUGCCACCGUUCAGGGGCGUUUCUUCUGGGCCGGCGAGGGCGAUAAACAGAAAUACCACAUGGUUCGAUGGUCAGAGAUCUGCAAACCUCGCGACCAGGGCGGGCUUGGGAUCAUGUCCUCCAAACGCAUGAACAUAGCCCUCCUGACCCGGUGGCUCCGGCGGAUUACCAACGGUGAAGGUGGCCUGUGGCUUCGCCUCAUUCAACAGAAAUACCUCCGAGGCCAGCCUCUCGCCUUCUGCCAGCGGUCUGGGGGCUCCCAGUUCUGCCAAUCCAUCAUCCAGCUCCUCCCAGUCCUGCGGAUCGGGACCUCGAUCGCGGUCGGGUCCGGCACCGCCACACUGUUCUGGUCCGAUAGAUGGACUGGAGACAUGCCCCUCGCGGCCAGCUUUCCGGACCUGUUCUCCAUCGCGGUUGCCGCGCCGAUUUUUGUCGUGACAACCCUUAUUGACUUA